ACGCUCGACACCUACGGGGGGCAGCAGUGGGGAAUAUUGCACAAUGGGGGAAACCCUGAUGCAGCAACGCCGCGUGAAGGAAGACGGUUUUCGGAUUGUAAACUUCUGUUCUUAGUGAAGAUAGUGACGGUAGCUAAGGAGCAAGCCACGGCUAACUACGUGCCGGCAGCCGCGGUAAUCUGAGCGGGCUGGCAAGGC
rnacentral:rRNA from 1 species